UAGUGGCGAACGGGUGAGUAACACGUGGGCAAUCUGCCCUUCACUCUGGGACAAGCCCUGGAAACGGGGUCUAAUACCGGAUAACACUCCUCAGGGCAUCUUGAGGGGUUAAAAGCUCCGGCGGUGAAGGAUGAGCCCGCGGCCUAUCAGCUUGUUGGUGGGGUGAUGGCCUACCAAGGCGACGACGGGUAGCCGGCCUGAGAGGGCGACCGGCCACACUGGGACUGAGACACGGCCCAGACUCCUACGGGAGGCAGCAGUGGGGAAUAUUGCACAAUGGGCGAAAGCCUGAUGCAGCGACGCCGCGUGAGGGAUGACGGCCUUCGGGUUGUAAACCUCUUUCAGCAGGGAAGAAGCGAAAGUGACGGUACCUGCAGAAGAAGCGCCGGCUAACUACGUGCCAGCAGCCGCGGUAAUACGUAGGGCGCAAGCGUUGUCCGGAAUUAUUGGGCGUAAAGAGCUCGUAGGCGGCUUGUCACGUCGGAUGUGAAAGCCCGGGGCUUAACCCCGGGUCUGCAUUCGAUACGGGCUAGCUAGAGUGUGGUAGGGGAGAUCGGAAUUCCU
rnacentral:rRNA from 2 species